GCUCUAGCCUCCAGAGAUCUGCUCCCUAGACUUUCCCCACCUCUUUCCCCUGGGCCAAAGGAGAAGGAGUCAUGGCGGGAAGCACCAGAGGCUGAGAGGGUGGAUCUGACUCCUUUUGGAGACCCAGUAGGAAAGUCCUCCCUGUCAUCUGUUGUAGCCGGGGAGCAGGCGGCCACGUUCUGGGACCUAAGCUCAUUCAUUGCUCAGUUCCCCAGGUCCUGAAUCCAGCCUCACAUCCCACGCCACACAGGCUGUGGCACAAAAGGGACAAACACCCUCAAGACCUAGGCCAGAUAAUUAUCAAGCAAAUUCCCUUCAAUUUCCUGCCUUCACCCCCACCCCCACCCUCGGGCACUGCCUGCUGCGCGUUCCCUGAUUCGGCCCCGGCUGUGCAAUCAACGCCAGGUAACCUGCGGGGCCCUGUAAUUGCUCUGGAGUUGCCUGGGACUUUGCGAGGAGGACCCCAACAGCCCAACUGUCAGGGAGACUACUGUGAUCAGUGC
rnacentral:lncRNA from 1 species